CCCGGGCCACUCCCCCCUCGUCGGGCUGCGGCCUCCCAGUCUCCUCGGCCACACCCCCUUCCCAACUACUUAAAAGGACACUCCAAAGCUCACGUUUCCCUCCUCUGUACCGGGGUGUUCUUGUCUGGGUAUCUCUACCCGCUUACGGUGGAAUGGUUGCGCCCUUCGGGUAGCCAAGCAAGCCUCCAGGCAUAAGUCAGGUCGGACCAGGAUGAGAGAGAGGCUUCGGGCAGUUGUUUUACUUCCUGCUUGGCGCUCGAAUUGUGGCCCCUUCGUUUCACGCUGCUUGCAGGAUCCUAGUUUCCCGAUCAGGGAUCGAACCUGUGUCCAGAGCAGUGAAAGUGUCAAGUCCUAACCACUGGACUGCCAGGUAACUCCCUAGAAGUUGUCUUUAGACUUUAAGACUUGAAUCUUAACACUUUACCAUCGUUCUUUUCCUAUCAAUAGGAUGGAAGAGAUACCAGAAUCUAGUCACUGUUUUUUCCAUUUCUUCUUUUUCUUCCUUCCUUCCUUUUUUUUUCCUUGUCACUGUCUUUUCCUAUUAAGAACUGACUGCAUCACCUCCUCUGGGAAACCCUCCCAGAUACCCACUUUCACACCAGGGCUUUAUAGCCUCUUACCUACUCUCUCAGAGCACUUAGCAUCAUUUCUUGCAGAUAGUUUGCUUAUUGCCUUCCCCACCAGCAGAUGGAUUAAAACUGUAUUGUUCGUUUUGGAUCUAGCAUAGUGCCCGACACAGAGCAGGCAGCCUUUCUUUCUGUAUUUGCUGUUUGAGUUUAUGUCUUAACUAGUGCUCUGAACCAGGGGUUCAGUGACCUACAGCAAGAAACAUAUUCUGAACCGUGAGAUAACUGAAACAAAAGCUUCUUGGGAUAAUACUUAUCCUUGCUAUAUGCGUGCACUAUGAUACUUUAUUUAUUCUACUUUUUUUUUUAAGAUGCUGGCCAUGAUUUCAUGACCCAUUACCAGGUUGUGGCCAACAGUUGGAGGCACACUGCUUUCAUCUCUGUGUGCUGAGGAUGCCUUCUGAGUGCAGGGCUCUAGCUGUCCCUGAAGGAUACAGAGUAGAUGACCCUCAAGUACCUCUUGCUCUGAGGUCAAAGAUAGUUUCAUUUAUAAGAAGACACACAGAAACCUAAGACCAGAGGCACAACGGUGCAAAUAGAACCCAGGGUGGAGAGGUUAGAUGAGGAAAGGUCCCCAAGAGGCCUGGUAAGGACCUUUGUGCCUCCAGAAACUACAAAGGCAGUGGCAGCUUUACUGGAGCCUGGACCACAGGCAGGGGCCUGGACCACAGGCAGGGGCCUGGACUCUUGAUGCCAUGGGGUUCUCAUUGCUCUGUCCUCAGAUUUCAGGUCCCUGACCCAGACAGCUCUCUGGGAUCAUGAUGAGCAUCUUUCCUACAGUUAAGGGAAGUGAGAGGCCUCACUUCUGCCUCAAACCAUCUCAUAACCUACCUCCAGGCCUUGGGCCAGUUGCUGGCUGUGUGACUGGGUGGGCCCUGUUUAAUUAGGCUCAAGGAUGCUAGCUGAGGCCAGGGCUCUCUAGGCCUAACAAUUCUCCCAAGAGAAAGCUUGCAAACUGUAUCAGGUCACCUACCUGUUUCUUCCCUUUAUCUCAAUUUACUUCCAC
ensembl:lncRNA